rnacentral:rRNA from 1 species
ACGGAAGGCAGCAGUGGGGAAUAUUGCACAAUGGGGGAAACCCUGAUGCAGCGACGCCGCGUGAGUGAAGAAGUAUUUCGGUAUGUAAAGCUCUAUCAGCAGGGAAGAAAAUGACGGUACCUGACUAAGAAGCCCCGGCUAACUACGUGCCAGCAGCCGCGGUAAUACGUAGGGGGCAAGCGUUAUCCGGAUUUACUGGGCGUAAAGGGAGCGUAGACGGUUCUGCAAGUCUGAUGUGAAAGGCAGGGGCUCAACUCCUGGACUGCAUUGGAAACUGUAGAACUAGAGUGCCGGAGAGGUAAGCGGAAUUCCUAGUGUAGCGGUGAAAUGCGUAGAUAUUAGGAGGAACACCAGUGGCGAAGGCGGCUUACUGGACGGUAACUGACGUUGAGGCUCGAAAGCGUGGGGAGCAAACAGGAUUAGAUACCCUGGUA